rnacentral:rRNA from 1 species
ACGCUGGCUACAGGCUUAACACAUGCAAGUCGAGGGGAAACGACGGGGAAGCUUGCUUCCUCGGGCGUCGACCGGCGCACGGGUGAGUAACGCGUAUCCAACCUGCCUCUGACUGAGGGAUAACCCGUCGAAAGUCGGCCUAAUACCUCAUGGCAUCGUCUGCGGGCAUCCAACGACGAUUAAAGAUUUCAUCGGUCAGGGAUGGGGAUGCGUCUGAUUAGCUGGUUGGCGGGGUAACGGCCCACCAAGGCGACGAUCAGUAGGGGUUCUGAGAGGAAGGUCCCCCACAUUGGAACUGAGACACGGUCCAAACUCCUACGGGAGGCAGCAGUGAGGAAUAUUGGUCAAUGGGCGAGAGCCUGAACCAGCCAAGUAGCGUGCAGGAAGACGGCCCUAUGGGUUGUAAACUGCUUUUAUGCGGGGAUAAAGUGCAGGACGUGUCCUUCAUUGCAGGUACCGCAUGAAUAAGGACCGGCUAAUUCCGUGCUAGCAGCCGCGGUAAUACGGAAGGUCCGGGCGUUAUCCGGAUUUAUUGGGUUUAAAGGGAGCGUAGGCCGUGGAUUAAGCGUGUUGUGAAAUGCAGGUGCUCAACGUCUGCACUGCAGCGCGAACUGGUCCACUUGAGUGUGCACAACGCAGGCGGAAUUCGUCGUGUAGCGGUGAAAUGCUUAGAUAUGACGAAGAACUCCGAUUGCGAAGGCAGCUUGCGGGAGCACAACUGACGCUGAAGCUCGAAAGUGCGGGUAUCGAACAGGAUUAGAUACCCUGGUAGUCCGCACGGUAAACGAUGGAUGCCCGUUGUCAGGCUGUUUCAGCCUGGUGACCAAGCGAAAGCAUUAAGCAUCCCACCUGGGGAGUACGCCGGCAACGGUGAAACUCAAGGAAUUGACGGGGGCCCGCACAAGCGGAG